rnacentral:rRNA from 1 species
GAUGAACGCUGGCGGCGUGCCUAAUACAUGCAAGUCGAGCGAAUGGAUUAAGAGCUUGCUCUUAUGAAGUUAGCGGCGGACGGGUGAGUAACACGUGGGUAACCUGCCCAUAAGACUGGGAUAACUCCGGGAAACCGGGGCUAAUACCGGAUAACAUUUUGAACCGCAUGGUUCGAAAUUGAAAGGCGGCUUCGGCUGUCACUUAUGGAUGGACCCGCGUCGCAUUAGCUAGGUGGUGGGGUAACGGCUCACCAAGGCAACGAUGCAUAGCCGACCUGGGAGGGUGAUCGGCCACACUGGGACUGAGACACGGCCCAGACUCCUACGGGAGGCAGCAGUAGGGAAUCUUCCGCAAUGGACGAAAGUCUGACGGAGCAACGCCGCGUGAGUGAUGAAGGCUUUCGGGUCGUAAAACUCUGUUGUUAGGGAAGAACAAGUGCUAGUUGAAUAAGCUGGCACCUUGACGGUACCUAACCAGAAAGCCACGGCUAACUACGUGCCAGCCGCCGCCGUAA